AGUGAACGCUGGCGGUAGGCCUAACACAUGCAAGUCGAACGGCAGCACAGUAAGAGCUUGCUCUUACGGGUGGCGAGUGCGGACGGGUGAGGAAUACAUCGGAAUCUACUUUUUCGUGGGGGAUAACGUAGGGAAACUUACGCUAAUACCGCAUACGACCUACGGGUGAAAGCAGGGGAUCUUCGGACCUUGCGCGAUUGAAUGAGCCGAUGUCGGAUUAGCUAGUUGGCGGGGUAAAGGCCCACCAAGGCGACGAUCCGUAGCUGGUCUGAGAGGAUGAUCAGCCACACUGGAACUGAGACACGGUCCAGACUCCUACGGGAGGCAGCAGUGGGGAAUAUUGGACAAUGGGCGCAAGCCUGAUCCAGCCAUACCGCGUGGGUGAAGAAGGCCUUCGGGUUGUAAAGCCCUCUUGUUGGGAAAGAAAAGCAGCAGGUUAAUACCCCGCUGUUCUGACGGUACCCAAAGAAUAAGCACCGGCUAACUUCGUG
rnacentral:rRNA from 1 species